UACGGAGGGGACUAGCGUUGUUCGGAAUUACUGGGCGUAAAGCGCGCGUAGGCGGAUUUGUAAGUCAGGGGUGAAAUCCCGGGGCUCAACCUCGGAACUGCCUUUGAUACUGCAAAUCUCGAGUCCGGAAGAGGUGAGUGGAAUUCCUAGUGUAGAGGUGAAAUUCGUAGAUAUUAGGAAGAACACCAGUGGCGAAGGCGGCUCACUGGUCCGGUACUGACGCUGAGGCGCGAAAGCCAGGGGAGCAAACGGG
rnacentral:rRNA from 1 species